CCUGUAGGUAAUUGAAAACUACCUACUUCACCCCAGGAAAGUAAAGGGCGCACAGGACGUACUGUCUCGGAGGUACAACAGCGACUGACCAACAGUGCAGUGAAGGUUUUGCUUGGAGAUGUUCAAGCAGAAUGGAGAAUCUGUAUCCCUUUGAUGCAGGAACAGUUUAACCGGGCAGGAGUGUUUUUUUCUUUUUUUUUUUAAUUCUCAUUGUGGUUCUUGGAACAAUGAUGGAUAAUUAUUGAAAAGUUCAGGUAGACAGGAUGUGAUACUAUAUAGUGACAGAUAACUGGAUACUAACAUAAUUUCUAAAUAGAAUUUGCAAGUCGUGCAUACUCUUUGUGAAGGGCAACAAAGAAACUCUCUUUUUGGUGCUGUAAUGUAUUUUGCAUGAAGUCCACUUUACCAAAGUUUUAAAUAAUUCAAGACCUCUUAAUCCUGCUGCCAAAUCUUGUGAAAUAUUCUGUGAGACAGAAUUAACAAAAGUGUCAGAUCAUGGAGCACAAGACAUGCAUGAUUCAAGAUCUUGGAAAGGAAUGUUGAGACAUUGUUGUCCCACAUUCUCAUGGCUCACUGGUAACGCUGCAUUUCUAGAAAUAACAAAUACUGUAAAGAAACAACGUGAAAACAAUUGUUACAGUGGAUAGAAAAUGUCCACACUUCCUGUUAAAAAAAUGAAAGGUUCUGGAGAUAUCAAUAAACAUCAUUCAAGAGACAUAAUUUAAAAACUCCUCCCACCACAAAUGUGACAUGGAAUACAACAACAAAAAAUAUGAAAGGGUAAUUACAUACAGAAUAUAAAACCGAAGUAAUAUGGUUGUACAAGCUAAAUUCAAUUUAUUUGUAUUAAACAAGCCAUGCAGAGGGCAACUCAUUGCUUUCCCAAAAGGUUAUGGACUUUUGUUGCUGUUACUUUAUACUAUUCAUAAUUCCUAAGGACCUAUUUCCAGAAACUCAGCCCCAAUGUAUGAUGUUGCCACCUCCAUACUAGACUGUAGGUAUGGUGUUCUUUUGGUGAUGAGCAGUAUUCAUGUUUGUGCUAAACAUACCUUUUGGAAUUAUGGCCCAAAAAUAGAACUCCCAAACACAUGGGAAAAUGUGUUACAGUUGGUUAAAAACAAGGUGAAACUUUUGGGACAUAAUUCCAAAAUGGUAUGUUGGGUGCAAAUAAAACAGCUCAUCACCAAAAGAGCACGUUACAGUCAAAGGGUUUACUCCAUAAGAAAUUAAAUUCAUGUGGCUUAAUUUGAGGUUUAUUCUUUUGCAUUUAAUCUAAAUGUGUGUGUGUGUUGAAGACAAAGUCCGAGAAUAGUAGAAGCAUAUAAAAUAGACUACUAUGAAGUAAUCAGAAAGGACUCUGAAGUAUAGAAUACAACGGCUAUGUGGUUUGAAGAGUCUAGACUGUUAUCCAGACCUUACUUCUACUACAACUUGAUUUCUUGCCGCCAGCAGUCUCCUCUGAAAAAAUGUCCUUAUUAUGGUCAACAGUUCUAUGACAAGAAGUAAAUAAAAAAACCUCUUUCUGCUCCA